UACGAAGGGGGCUAGCGUUGCUCGGAAUCACUGGGCGUAAAGGGUGCGUAGGCGGGUCUUUUAGUCAGGGGUGAAAUCCUGGAGCUCAACUCCAGAACUGCCUUUGAUACUGAGAGUCUUGAGUCCGGGAGAGGUGAGUGGAACUGCGAGUGUAGAGGUGAAAUUCGUAGAUAUUCGCAAGAACACCAGUGGCGAAGGCGGCUCACUGGCCCGGUACUGACGCUGAGGUGCGAAAGCGUGGGGAGCAAACAGG
rnacentral:rRNA from 1 species